GGCGACUGAAAUGUCACUAGCUCAGCAUGUGAAUCAGCGUUCACUUUUGUGAGCGCUGAAUUGUGGUCUUUUGGUUCUUGCAGCACAUUGUCCAGUCCAUGUUUUUUGGAAUAAUACAGCAAAGAGGGUGAAACUCCUGUUUGGCUGGACAUACGAAGCAAGCACUACUGAGUCGAGUUGUUUGGGAUUGCAGCUCAAAUACGGUGGUAAAUUUCAUCUAUAGCUAAAUACUGGUGGGAGACCGAUAGCGUACAAGUACCGUGAGGGAAAGAUGCAAAGAACUUUGAAAAGAGAGUGAAARAGUACCUGAAAUUGCUGAAAAGGAAGCGAACGAACCUAGUGAAAGCACUGUCAUACUUUCCAACUUGCUCGCAACUUGGACGCUGUGACUUGCCAAGUUCCACUGCAUCGCAGCYACCAGYAGCAGGAGCAAACCAGUGGMGAAAAGAUAYCAUUUUCGUCCACCAAUCGCACCUCCUGCAAUGCAGUCGAACCAAAUAGAUUUGUUUGCCCCGUCUAGAAACACGGACCAAGGAGUCUAACAUAUGUGCGAGUACUAAGGCAGCAUGCCUUGCUGCGAAAUGAAAGUGUCAGAGGCUGGAAUGCAUCAAGCAUUGCACAGUCCGCCGGCCCCCAUCCCU
rnacentral:rRNA from 1 species